rnacentral:rRNA from 1 species
AUUGAACGCUGGCGGCAGGCUUAACACAUGCAAGUCGGGCGGAAACGAUGGUAGCUUGCUACCAGGCGUCGAGCGGCGGACGGGUGAGUAAUACUUGGGUAUCUGCCUUAUCGUGGGGGACAACAGUUGGAAACGACUGCUAAUACCGCAUAAUUUCUACGGAACAAAGGUGGCCUUCUUGAAAGCUAUCGCGAUAAGAUGAACCCAAGCGGGAUUAGCUUGUUGGUGAGGUAACGGCUCACCAAGGCGACGAUCCCUAGCUGGUCUGAGAGGAUGAUCAGCCACACUGGAACUGAGACACGGUCCAGACUCCUACGGGAGGCAGCAGUGGGGAAUAUUGCACAAUGGAGGAAACUCUGAUGCAGCCAUGCCGCGUGUGUGAAGAAGGCUUUCGGGUUGUAAAGCACUUUCAGUGGGGAGGAAAGGGUAGUCGUUAAUAGCGGUUAUCUGUGACGUUACCCACAGAAGAAGCACCGGCUAACUCCGUGCCAGCAGCCGCGGUAAUACGGAGGGUGCGAGCGUUAAUCGGAAUUACUGGGCGUAAAGCGCGCGUAGGUGGUUAAUUAAGUCAGAUGUGAAAGCCCAGGGCUCAACCUUGGAACUGCAUUUGAAACUGGUUAACUAGAGUUUUGUAGAGGGUGGUAGAAUUUCAGGUGUAGCGGUGAAAUGCGUAGAGAUCUGAAGGAAUACCAGUGGCGAAGGCGGCCACCUGGACAAAGACUGACACUGAGGCGCGAAGGCGUGGGGAGCAAACGGGAUUAGAUACCCCGGUAGUCCACGCAGUAAACGAUGUCUAUUAGAAGUUUGUGGCUAUAUGCCGUGGGUUUCAAAGCUAACGCAUUAAAUAGACCGCCUGGGGAGUACGGCCGCAAGGUUAAAACUCAAAUGAAUUGACGGGGGCCCGCACAAGCGGUGGAGCAUGUGGUUUAAUUCGAUGCAACGCGAAGAACCUUACCAGGUCUUGACAUCCCGAGAAUUUGCUAGAGAUAGCUUAGUGCCUUCGGGAACUCUGUGACAGGUGCUGCAUGGCUGUCGUCAGCUCGUGUCGUGAGAUGUUGGGUUAAGUCCCGUAACGAGCGCAACCCUUGUCCUUAGUUGCCAGCACAUAAUGGUGGGAACUCUAAGGAGACUGCCGGUGACAAACCGGAGGAAGGUGGGGACGACGUCAAGUCAUCAUGGCCCUUACGUCCUGGGCUACACACGUGCUACAAUGGCCGGUACAGAGGGCUGCAAACCAGCGAUGGUAAGCGAAUCCCUUAAAACCGGUCGUAGUCCGGAUCGGAGUCUGCAACUCGACUCCGUGAAGUCGGAAUCGCUAGUAAUCGCGAAUCAGAAUGUCGCGGUGAAUACGUUCCCGGGCCUUGUACACACCGCCCGUCACACCAUGGGAGUGGGCUGCAAAAGAAGUGGGUAGACUAACCUUCGGGAGGUCGCUCACCACUUUGUGGUUCAUGACUGGGGUGAAG